CCAGCACCCGCGGUAAUUCCAGCUCCAAUAGCGUAUACUAAAGUUGUUGCAGUUAAAAAGCUCGUAGUUGAAUUUCUGGUUUCGGAGCGCGGUCGGCCUCUAGGGGUUUGUACCUGUGAGCUGAAGCCAUCCUCGGGGAGAACAUGUCUGCCAUUAACUUGGUGGGCAUGGGACCCUCGUCAUUUACUGUGAGCAAAAUAGAGUGUUCAAAGCAGACUUAUGUCUUGAAUACAUUAGCAUGGAAUAAUAAGAUAGGACCUUGGUCUAUUUUGUUGGUUUGUACUCCAAGGUAAUGAUUAAUAGGGAUAGUUGGGGGUAUUCGUAUUCAAUUGUCAGAGGUGAAAUUCUUG
rnacentral:rRNA from 1 species